AAACCACUAUAAUCUAAAGGACAAAUCUCCAAAAUAGCACAUUUCUAAGUUUAUGUCACAAAAAUAAUCUUCAAAAACUAAAAUGACCAAAAUAGCAUUUUAUCUUUUGAAACUUUUUUUUUUAUUUUUCAAAAUUUAAAAUUUUAUUCCAAAACUCCACUCCCCAAUUCUAAACCCUAAAACAUAAACCCUAAACCCUAAACUCUAAACCCUAAACCCUAAAUCCUAAACCCUAAAUCUUAAACCCCACCCCUUAACUCUAAACCCUAAACCCCACCCCUAAACUCUAAACCCUAAACCCUAAAUCCUAAACCCCAC
rnacentral:lncRNA from 1 species